GGAUCCAGACUUUGAUUCUGGCUCAGGAUGAACGCUAGCGACAGGCUUAACACAUGCAAGUCGAGGGGCAGCGAGGGAGUGGUAACACUCCUGUCGGCGACCGGCGCACGGGUGAGUAACGCGUAUGCAACCUGCCCUUCACAGGGGGAUAACCGGGAGAAAUUCCGACUAAUACCGCAUACGUCCUCCGGGGGCAUCCCCGGGGGAUGAAAGAAUUAUCGGUGAGGGAUGGGCAUGCGUGAUAUUAGGUAGUUGGCGGGGCAACGGCCCACCAAGCCCACGAUAUCUAGGGGUUCUGAGAGGAAGGUCCCCCACAUUGGUACUGAGACACGGACCAAACUCCUACGGGAGGCAGCAGUGAGGAAUAUUGGUCAAUGGACGAGAGUCUGAACCAGCCAAGUCGCGUGAAGGAAGAC
rnacentral:rRNA from 1 species